GAAUAAGUGAAUGGGUGGAAGGAUGGGAAGGGCCUCUGAAGAUGCAAGGAGGGCUGCCUGGAUGGAGGAAUCUCUGUAAUGGCAGAGGGAUGGAAGGAUGAGUCUCGAAGGACAGAUGGAGGGUUCUCUGAAAAUGGAUGGAUGGAUGGAUGGAUGGAUGGAUGGAUGGAUCGAUGGAGGGUGGGAGGUCAGACUGGGGGCUCCUGGGAACCCAGCUGUCCACCAAAGCAGCCCACUCCCACACAGGGUCACCCUCCGCCGGGCAUCCUCCAGCAAAAGCCGCAAGGAGAAAGGCAGCAACCGCCUGUCCAUGGGCAGCAGGUCAGGACCCUCACCCCACAUGGGGGGCUGCCAGGCCCCGUGCAGCACAGGGGGCAGCCCCAGCACCCUAACAUGGCUCUGUCCCCAGGGAGGUGUCAGAAGGUCCUGGCCGUCCUUCGGGGUCACCCUUCCUGUCCUUCUCCUGGUUCUCAGAUGGUGCCAGGGGCUCGGCCUCCCCCGGCUCUGCAUCACCCACUGGCUCCCCCCGGCACGAGGGGUUCAGCCCCGCCAAAUCUGCCUCCCAGGACUCGACGCUGAGCGAGGACUCCCCACCCCCCAGCUCCAGCCCGCGCCUGCCUGGCCCUGCUGCCACCAAGUGCUCCUACCCCUACCACACGCUGUCACAGUCCUCGGAUGAGGUGAGCCCCAGGGCUGGGGGCACGUGGUCGGUGUCAUCCUCAGUGCCACGCGUCCCUCACUAAUGCCUGGAUCCUGCACCCAGUUCCUGGAUGAGCCCCCCGGUGCGGCCAUGGGCUGGACGUGCCACCAGGUCGGGCAGUGGCUGGAGAGCCUCAGCCUGGAGCAGUACGUGGAGGAGUUCUCGGCCCAUGGCAUUGAUGGCCCCCGGCUCCUGCAUCUCGAUGGGGCCAAGCUCAAGGUAGGGAACUGAGCAGGUGCCUGCACCUCUGGGGGGGGGGGGGGUUAGGGAUGCUGAUAUACUCAGGCAUGAGGCAAGAGCUUCUAGGCACACCAACAGGCUGCUUGACGGGGGUAGGAGGUCUGUGUGUGUUCUAGGUACCCCAAUUGACUAACUAGAAGAUAACAGGCUCCAGGUAACCCAACAAGUGACUCUAUGGGACAGGAUAUCUGAGUGGGUUCUAGAUCCCUCAGUGGGCUGCUUCAAUGGGGCAGGUUUAGUUGGGGGUCUAAGUAACAACAGGCAGCUCCAUUGGGUAGGAUGUCUAGGCGGAUUCUAG
rnacentral:lncRNA from 1 species